rnacentral:rRNA from 1 species
GGUUGCGAUCAUACCAGCACUAAUGCACCGGAUCCCAUCAGAACUCCGCAGUUAAGCAUGAUUAGGCGAGAGUAGUACUAGGAUGGGUGACCCCCUGGGAAGUCCUCGUUUUGCAACCC